rnacentral:lncRNA from 1 species
GAUCCCAUCCAAAAGCAUCAGCAGCCAAACAGAUGUGAACCAUUCAAUUGGAAUAGAAAUCAAGGGAUCAUUAAAUUCAUCCUUCUGCAUUCAGAUUCAGAAAAGCCUGAAUUUGCAAAAAGUUUGUUUCGAUCAUCAUAGGCAAGGUGAAAUAGAAAGUCGAAGAAAUCAUCUCGGUCAUUACGAGUCCUCAAGUAGUUGCUUUUUGUACUUUGAAUAAAGACUUUAGUCAUAGUAGGAGAGAUAGACUGUAAUGGACUUACUUCACGAUGGCUGCACCAGAGGUUCCAAGAACGAUGGCUUUCAACUUCAACCCACAUCUAAAACACACCACUGUAGCCACACCCUACACCCUGUGGUUAUCCAGUUGUGAGUCCUAUUGGAGAGAUGAGGUGUAUGACAGUUUCCUGGAGGGGGUCAUAUGGAUCUACUACUACCUUCCCACUGACAUUAGGCAGAUGUUCAUUAGAUUGGUUUGAUAGAUGUAAUGGUUAAUAUUGAGUGUCAACUUGAUUGGAUUGAAGGAUGCAAAGUAUUGUUCCUGGGUGCGUCUGUGAGGGUGUUGCCAAAGGAGAUUAACAUUUGAAUCAUUGGACUGGGAGAGGCAGACCCACCCUCAAUCUGGGUGGGCACAAUCUAAUCAGCUGCCAGCAUGGCCAGCAUAAAAGCAGGCAGAAGAAUGUGGAAGGAGUAGACUGGCUCAGUCUCCUGGCCUACAUCUUUCUCCCACGCUGCAUGCUUCCUGCCCUCGAACAUUGGACUCCAAGUUCUUCAGUUUUGGGACUCUUGAACCUUUGACCACAGACUGAAGGCUACACUGUUGACUUCCCUACUUUUGAGCUUUUAGGACUCGGACUGGCUUCCUUGUUCCUCAGCUUGCAGACGGCCUAUUGUGGGACCUCACUUUGUGAUCAUGUGAGUCAAUACUCCUUAAUAAACUCUCCUUUAAAUAUACAUCUAUCUUGUUAGUUCUGUCCCUCUAGAGAACCUUGACUAAUACGAUAGGGAAGCCAUAGUGACUGUCACUAAUAUUCUAAUAAAAGAAUUAUUAUCUAUGCCAACUCUGGAGAGCCACAGGUAAGCUAUACAUAGAUCAAAGUGUAAACCAGGGGUUCUCUGAGUGUGAUUCCUGGACCAGCAGUAUGUGGUGACAUUUGAAAUGCAAAUUCUUGGGCCCCACCUCAGACCACUGAAUUAGAAACUCCAGAGGUGGAGCUCAGCAGUUUGUUUUAACUAGUUCUCCAGGUGAUGCUGAGGCACAUCACAGUUGGAAAUGGUGAGGUAAGUAAGGAAUUUCAGCAGUUCAACUGCUGAAAUGUAGAUCUUAACAAAGUGCUAAAUGAAUAGAGGAAAAAGGGAUAAUUAUCUGAGACAUUUGGAUCUUGUUUCACGAAUAGGAGUUCAGAUGAAGUUAGGGAGGUCUUUUGAAGUAUAGGAAACAAGACAUGCAAAGACUGGGGAGGUUAGGAAGACCAGACCUAUUUCAAGAUAUACAAUGGCCUAGUGGGGCUUGAGGUAGCAGGGUGCAUUCUUUUUCUUAGAUAUGCUUCCUCCUCUCUGCUCCAUGGUGCCACACAUGAUGCUGGUGAUAAAGGAGACUGAGCGAGGGUAAAGAUUCACAGUGCCAGCAAGGGCUUGGACAUUGGCAGCCUAUGGAUCAAAUUGUGCUUGCAGAUGGGCUGUAUUUGGUAUUUUAUUGUACAAACACUAUGUAUUUGGCAUAGCAUUAUACAAAUAAAUGUGAACUAACAUUUAAUAAUCAGUUUGGAUGUAUAUAUGUGUAUAUAUAUUAUGUAUAAAUAACAUAUAUGCUAACACAAAAAUAUAUGUGCUAUAUUUAUAUUCUAUACAAAUAACAUAUAAAUAUAUGUUAACAUAUAAAAAUAUAUG